rnacentral:rRNA from 1 species
GGUUUACCUGUGUGACUGCGUACCUUUUGUAUAAUGGGUCAGCGACUUAUAUUCUGUAGCAAGGUUAACCGAAUAGGGGAGCCGGAGGGAAACCGAGUCUUAAUUGGGCGUUAAGUUGCAGGGUAUAGACCCGAAACCCGGUGAUCUAGCCAUGGGCAGGUUGAAGGUUGGGUAACACUAACUGGAGGACCGAACCGACUAAUGUUGAAAAAUUAGCGGAUGACCUGUGGCUGGGGGUGAAAGGCCAAUCAAACCGGGAGAUAGCUGGUUCUCCCCGAAAGCUAUUUAGGUAGCGCCUCGUGAAUUCAUCUCCGGGGGUAGAGCACUGUUUCGGCUAGGGGGCCAUCCCGGCUUACCAACCCGAUGCAAACUGCGAAUACCGGAGAAUGUUAUCACGGGAGACACACGGCGGGUGCUAACGUCCGUCGUGAAGAGGGAAACAACCCAGACCGCCAGCUAAGGUCCCAAAGUCAUGGUUAAGUGGGAAACGAUGUGGGAAGGCCCAGACAGCCAGGAUGUUGGCUUAGAAGCAGCCAUCAUUUAAAGAAAGCGUAAUAGCUCACUGGUCGAGUCGGCCUGCGCGGAAGAUGUAACGGGGCUAAACCAUGCACCGAAGCUGCGGCAGCGACGCUGAUGCGUUGUUGGGUAGGGGAGCGUUCUGUAAGCCUGCGAAGGUGUGUCGUGAGGCAUGCUGGAGGUAUCAGAAGUGCGAAUGCUGACAUAAGUAACGAUAAAGCGGGUGAAAAGCCCGCUCGCCGGAAGACCAAGGGUUCCUGUCCAACGUUAAUCGGGGCAGGGUGAGUCGACCCCUAAGGCGAGGCCGAAAGGCGUAGUCGAUGGGAAACGGGUUAAUAUUCCCGUACUUGGUGUUACUGCGAAGGGGGGACGGAGAAGGCUAUGUUGGCCGGGCGACGGUUGUCCCGGUUUAAGCGUGUAGGUGUGUGUUCCAGGUAAAUCCGGUUCACUUUAACACUGAGGCGUGAUGACGAGGCACUACGGUGCUGAAGCAACAAAUGCCCUGCUUCCAGGAAAAGCCUCUAAGCAUCAGGUAACAUCAAAUCGUACCCCAAACCGACACAGGUGGUCAGGUAGAGAAUACCAAGGCGCUUGAGAGAACUCGGGUGAAGGAACUAGGCAAAAUGGUGCCGUAACUUCGGGAGAAGGCACGCUGACACGUAGGUGAAGUGAUUUACUCAUGGAGCUGAAGUCAGUCGAAGAUACCAGCUGGCUGCAACUGUUUAUUAAAAACACAGCACUGUGCAAACACGAAAGUGGACGUAUACGGUGUGACGCCUGCCCGGUGCCGGAAGGUUAAUUGAUGGGGUCAGCGCAAGCGAAGCUCCUGAUCGAAGCCCCGGUAAACGGCGGCCGUAACUAUAACGGUCCUAAGGUAGCGAAAUUCCUUGUCGGGUAAGUUCCGACCUGCACGAAUGGCGUAAUGAUGGCCAGGCUGUCUCCACCCGAGACUCAGUGAAAUUGAACUCGCUGUGAAGAUGCAGUGUACCCGCGGCAAGACGGAAAGACCCCGUGAACCUUUACUAUAGCUUGACACUGAACAUUGAGCCUUGAUGUGUAGGAUAGGUGGGAGGCUUUGAAGUGUGGACGCCAGUCUGCAUGGAGCCGACCUUGAAAUACCACCCUUUAAUGUUUGAUGUUCUAACGUGGACCCGUGAUCCGGGUUGCGGACAGUGUCUGGUGGGUAGUUUGACUGGGGCGGUCUCCUCCUAAAGAGUAACGGAGGAGCACGAAGGUUGGCUAAUCCUGGUCGGACAUCAGGAGGUUAGUGCAAUGGCAUAAGCCAGCUUGACUGCGAGCGUGACGGCGCGAGCAGGUGCGAAAGCAGGUCAUAGUGAUCCGGUGGUUCUGAAUGGAAGGGCCAUCGCUCAACGGAUAAAAGGUACUCCGGGGAUAACAGGCUGAUACCGCCCAAGAGUUCAUAUCGACGGCGGUGUUUGGCACCUCGAUGUCGGCUCAUCACAUCCUGGGGCUGAAGUAGGUCCCAAGGGUAUGGCUGUUCGCCAUUUAAAGUGGUACGCGAGCUGGGUUUAGAACGUCGUGAGACAGUUCGGUCCCUAUCUGCCGUGGGCGCUGGAGAACUGAGGGGGGCUGCUCCUAGUACGAGAGGACCGGAGUGGACGCAUCACUGGUGUUCGGGUUGUCAUGCCAAUGGCACUGCCCGGUAGCUAAAUGCGGAAGAGAUAAGUGCUGAAAGCAUCUAAGCACGAAACUUGCCCCGA